GAUGAAGAACGCAGUGAAAUGCGAUAAGUAAUGUGAAUUGCAGAAUUCAGUGAAUCAUCGAAUCUUUGAACGCACAUUGCGCCCGCUAGUAUUCUGGCGGGCAUGCCUGUCCGAGCGUCAUUUCAACCCUCAAGCCCCCGGGCUUGGUGUUGGGGAUCGGCGAGCCUCCGCGCCCGCCGUCCCCUAAAUCUAGUGGCGGUCUCGCUGUAGCUUCCUCUGCGUAGUAGCACACCUCGCACUGGGAAACAGCGCGGCCACGCCGUUAAACCCCCAACUUCUGAACGUUUGACCUCGGAUCAGGUAGGAAUACCCGCUGAACUUAAGCAUAUCAAUAGCGGAGGA
rnacentral:misc_RNA from 1 species